rnacentral:rRNA from 1 species
GAUGAACGCUGGCGGCGUGCCUAAUACAUGCAAGUCGAACGAGGUGCUUGAGUAGCAAUACAAGAGUAUCCUAGCGGCGAACGGGUGAGUAACGCGUUGGUGACCUACCCCAAAGUGUGGGAUAACAGUCCGAAAGGAUUGCUAAUACCGCAUGUGGUUAUCAGGUUUAGAAACUGAUAACUAAAGGAGCAAUUCGCUUUGGGAGGGACCUGCGUCCCAUCAGCUAGUUGGUGAGGUAAUGGCUCACCAAGGCUACGACGGGUAGGGGACCUGAGAGGGUGGCCCCCCACAAUGGAACUGAAACACGGUCCAUACACCUACGGGUGGCAGCAGUAGGGAAUAUUGCACAAUGGGCGAAAGCCUGAUGCAGCAACGCCGCGUGUGCGAUGAAGGCCUUCGGGUCGUAAGCACUUUCUGAGAGAUGAGAAAGGACAGUAUACUCAGGAAUAAGUCUCGGCUAACUACGUGCCAGCAGCCGCGGU